rnacentral:misc_RNA from 1 species
GGAUGAAAAGGGUUUUCCUCCUUGCCCGGCUGCCUAUUGCAGCCUGAUCAAAAGUCCUGGAAAGGUAAAACAAUACGAAGCUGCAAGAAUUGUGGAUGUACAAGUGCUCGUCUAUAUGCUGUAAUGAUCAAACAUUUCGGGAAGUGUGGCCGUCUUAUUGAUGCUUUAGAUCUUUUUAACGAGAUGAAGAAACUUGGAUGCAAACCU